rnacentral:lncRNA from 1 species
UUUUGUAUGUCUCCCAUGCAGUCCUAAAUUGAGGACAGGACCCCUGCCUGCCUCUCCCUGGGGACCCUGGUUGCAUCUCCAUGAGGGCAGAUGGGGUGAAACUCUGAACCACAGAGAAGAGAGUAGAGUGGAUGUUGCUUGUCGGUCAGUUAGAUAACGGGGCUUCUUCAGGAUCACCCUUGCCUCCAUUUUCAGAAGAUCCUGUAGGAAUUUGCGCUGGCUUCCACUUUCCUCAGGCACAGAAACUCUUUGAGGAAGCAGGAUGCUCUUGCUUGGGGUUGACUGUCCUCGGGCUCUAGUGCCCAGUUACCUGAUGAUGGUUGCUUCAGACCUCAUACCUCCAGGGAGCUCUGUUGACCCAUCCGAAGCUCUGCCUACAAGAUUUGGAUUUGUUUUCCACACCAAAACAAAGACCAGAUUGAGACAGGGUCCUCUGCCAUCCCAAGUGGGCACUGCCACUAAUUUCUAAUGCCACCUUGGGAAAGGCAGCCCCAUCUUACUUCAUCAGGCCUAUCCCUUCAGAGACAUGCACAGAGUGAAUGGGUCAGAAGUGGUUCAGUUUCCUUUUUAAGCCUAUUGUUCCAGUUCUGUCUUGCCUCACAAUGCCCUUGAUGACCCAGGAGCCCAUUGGGCAAGAAUCUGGAAUUCCUUUGAGAAUCUCUAGGCUCAUGCCAGGCUGCACAUGGUAUUGCCCAGUCAGAGGCUUCAGCCUCAUCCUUAAGAUUCCCUGGAACAAACAAAGCAGAUGUUGCCACAAUUCCCUGUAUGACUCUACCCAUAAUGUGUUGGAGCUAAUUAACUAUCCUUGCUAGCAAUGGGCUUGGGAAGAAAGCAUUUCUGUUAGGGAAAAGGAUUUGGGAUUUUAAUUCAUAUGAACGAUAAUAGAAACAGCAAGAAGGGACCUGGAGGACAUGGGAACAGGGACAGGGACAGAUGGUAAGCCCUCAAUAACUGCUCUCUGAUGAUGUUAAGAUGUUACAGGUCUCUGAGGCCUGUGAAUGCUAAUAUUUUUCAUAUCUGGGGGCAUAGAUUACUAAAGAAGGAAGAUACUAUAAAGAAAACACAUCUCAUUAAACUUACUCUUACAGAAAACUGAAAUCAAAAAAGUCAAGUCAUGCAGUCAGACAGUGGAUGAGUGGAGACUAAAACCCAGGACUUCUGCUGUAGGUUAUUUUCAGUUCUGCCACAUUAAAUAUCUGGGUCCAGCUGAAGUUGCAAGUGGUCUUUAUUUUAGCAUUUUCC